AACGAACGCUGGCGGCGCGCUUAACACAUGCAAGUCGAACGAGAAGGCGUAGCAAUACGCUUGUACAGUGGCGAACGGGUGAGUAAUACGUGGGCGACCUACCCUCGAGUGGGGAAUAACCCGCCGAAAGGCGGGCUAAUGCCGCGUACGCUUCCAUCUUUAUGGAGGUGGAAGGAAAGCCGUGCCGUGGGCACGGCGCUCAAGGAUGGGCUCACGUCCUAUCAGCUUGUUGGAGGGUAACGGCCUACCAAGGCUCCGACGGUAGCUGGUCUGAGAGGACGAUCAGCCACACUGGCACUGCGACACGGGCCAGACUCCUACGGGAGCAGCAGUGAGGAUAUUGCGCAAUGGGCGAAAGCCUGACGCAGCGACG
rnacentral:rRNA from 1 species